GGCGGGGUCCAGGGCCGGCGAGUUGAGGCAGAGGUAGUGCGAGAAGCCACGGCCGCCCGCGCCCUGCGAGGUCUCCCAGAUCUGCAUCCACAGCGCAUUUGCGGGGCCUUUCUGCUCGGGCUGGAUCCAGGCCACGCGGGGAUCCAUCCACCCCGUCCGCUCGCGCCCCCAGCCGGCCCCCCUCGCCGCGGCUCCUCCGCCCGGCGCCGGAUCCGGAGCGGCGCUAAACACGCGCCGCGGGCAGCGGCAUCAGGAGGGAGGCUCGGCAGGGAGAGCCCGGCUCUGGCGCCCCGUGCUCGGGGUGGGGGAGGCCGCGCGGAGUUGCCCGGCCCGGCUUUCCCUGAAGCGCGGCGGUCGCUGCCCUAAUGUGGCGUCCCCUUGCCGGAGCCAGAACCAGUAGUGCGCAUGCGCAGAAGAUUUUAAACCUUCACUGGAUACGGCCGCCCUGGCAACCGCCCAUGCGCACUGGGAGUGGUGCCGGCUCGCUGAGGGAGGUGGCUCGGAACGUUCCUUCGGCAUCUCCCGGCGCGUGGAAUUUUGGAACCGUUCGGAAAAUCCGAGCAGGGUGAUGAUCUUUUGGUCCAUGUUGCUGUGCAAAUACAAUGGUACCGUAGCUGCCUCCAGGAUGGACGGCAACUAGGCAGCGGGUGCUCAAAGUUUAUAUAGGCACAACAAGUGCACCAAGGUUCUGAGGUAAAAUUGGUAGCUCCCUGGUUGGAACCUGUUUGAACUAGUUCUGUGCUGACCGUUAACUGCUUUUCCUGACAAAGUUCCAAAAGGGCACGAAAAUUUCAAGAAGAAACCAAACAAAGAUGGAGUCGAACUGUUGUUUGUUGGGCACGCCAUUUUGAAUUUCAGACUCCAUAUCUAAUACAUAGUCAAAUACCUUAAUCAAAUGUAAAGGCAUAAAGAAUAACUUAUUUUAAAGCAAAAAACAACUCAAUCUCUAUUUAAUAUGCAAAAACAUGUUACAUUUCCUCUCCUUGAUAGUCCUGAGUAAAUUCUGAAGGUACUAUCAUUACACAGACACAUAGAGGUGGAAAGUGCUAUAACAAUAAAACAAUUUAAAUAACUUUAAGAUCA
rnacentral:lncRNA from 1 species